rnacentral:lncRNA from 1 species
UGGAUCGAGUGGCCCAUGGUGGCGGUGGUGUUAUGGUAUGGGCAGGCAUAUGUUAUGGACAACGAACACAGGUGCAUUUUAUUGAUGGCAUUUUGAAUGCACAGAGAUAUGUGAUGAGAUCCUAAAGCUUAUUGCCAAGGUGUGCCAAUUUUAUACCUCUAAAGCAGAUUGGUAUGGUGUGCCAAUUGUAUGCGUCUAAAGCUGAUUUCCAUUAUGUACCAAUUUUAUGCCUCUAAAGCUGCUAUGAAUGCCAAUUUUAUGCAUCUAAAGCCGAUUGCCAUGAUGUGUCAAUUUUAUGCAUCCAAAGCUGCCAUGAUGUGGCAAUUUUAUGCAUCUAAAAAGGAUUGCCAUGGUAUGCCAAUGUUAUGCCUCUAAAGCUGAUUGUCAUGGUGUGCCAAAUGUAUGCCUCUAAAGAUGAAUUCCAUGGUGUGCCAAUUAUAUGCCUUUUAAACUGUUUGCCACGAUGUGCCAAUUUUAUGCAUCUAAAAGCUGCGGCAAUAUUAUGUAUCUAAAAAGGAUUGCCAUGGUGUGCCAAUGUUAUGCCUCUAAAGCUGAUUGUCAUGGUGUGCCAAUUGUAUGAUUUUAAAGAUGAAUUCCAUGUUGUGCCAAUUGUAUGCCUCUAUAACUGAUUGCCAUGAUGUGACAGUUUUAUGCACCUAAAAUUGAUUGCCAUGGUGUGCUAAUUUUCUGCCUCUAAAGCUGUCAUGAUGUGCCAAGUUUAUUCAUUUUUAAAAUAUGCAUUAAAAGCAAGUGGGUCUUGAAAAAUAACUUUUUUCAAAAGUGGGUUUUGGCCCAUAAAAGUUUGGGAUGCCCUGAUUUAGAAGGUAUGAGUGGGGUCCAUCAAAAACCUUUAUGGAUUUUCUCACAGAAAUGUCUGUAAGUAAGCUGAAAAUAUUCAACAUGAGUCAAAAUUGUGCUUUGAUUCAGCAAUCCUUAAAAAUAUUUUGAAUGCAAUUUACUCGAAUUUGGGUUCUCCAAAUAACCACUACAACUGAAUCCCUGGAGAAGUAUUUCAUGUUUCUAACUAGUUUUCAACACUUAUCUUUUGACUGGAUAGGAACAUGAUUUGUGAUAGUAGUAUGUUUUUGGGACAAGAGGGGUUACACAAGGAUACGUUCAAAUUGCGACAGACUUUUUUGAGGAUAGGACAGUGUGGGUAGUGCGAUAUAGAAGCGCUCGGAAAUAAUUCCAGUUGUGUUAUGGGGACCUCCAGUGGCCACAUCUGAGAUCAGAAAAUCUUAAUUUAAACAUGGAGUUGCCCUUUUAAAUGACGUAUAAGGAAGUCACUGGCAGAUGUGUUUGUCUGUGAAAUAUUUAUUUUCAUUAAGGUUUUCCACAAGUUGGGGCGAUUUAUUAUCCUUAUUUUUCUGAAAAUGCAAAUAUUUCAAUUAAAUUAAGCCAUUUUCUACUUCAUAAAAGGUGCUUAAUAUAGAACUAUUUAUUUUCGUAGUCUGUGAAAUCACCUAAACAAACUCAUUUUAUCUUCAUGGCUAAGUAGACCUUUCUCUGGUCAAUAGUGGACAUUAAAACAUAUCUGCCAUGCAAAUGUGACAUUAUACAGAGAAUAGCAUUUCAUAUAUAUGCACUGUGCUAGCCAAAUUUACAAAUCAUAUAAAUAUCAUUUGUAUAUUUUAAUGGUUAAGCAUAUACCUCUGUUGCCUGUCACUAUUAUUGAAUUAUGAGAUUUUGAUAGGGACAGUAGCGUUGCUAGGUUCCUAAAAUGAUCUCCAGCUUUAUAGCACUCUGAUAGAGUACAUUACAUUACUUGCAGGUACCUGUGCCCCCUUUUGAAUUCAUUGGGGAGACAUAUCAAAUUGUUCUGUUCUAAAAAGUGGUGUAAACAUGUAAAAGGUGAGGAGUCACCAAUGGAAUGUCACUGCCGGUUCCACUGGUUUCCAUGGUGAUUGGAAUACGCUUAGUACUUUAUAUCAUUAUUCAGAGGACUUUGAUGAAUCUCCUUCAUUGUAUUCAAGCUAUAUGAUUAGCUUGAAUUUGGUAUAGGGCACAGCCGAAACCUGGCAAACUUGGUAAAGUAAUAUGGUACCAAAGUGCCCUCAUAAAAAAUAUACCAUACAGUUCCCUUUACUUUAUUAAAGCAGCCUAGAGGUAUUUCUAAAAAAGUCCAGAGACACAAACACCCACAUCCGUAGACACGACACGUACAGGAACACAUUUGAAGACUCCAAAACAAGAUUACAAAUUCCCAAACAUAAAGGAAACACUCCCAUGUAUCCCCUAACACACACAUAUACACUCACUAACAGGAGCUUACAUUCAUAGAAACACACAUUUGGGCAAACACUCAGCAAUGUCAGGGGACACAGGUAUGCUAACAUUGCUGCUGAGCUGGCCAUAAACUAUGGCAGCAUGCAGGAUUCUGGAUUAGGACCAGGAGCCCUUCAUGUUAUAAUUUGCCCAAAAAGUGCUGCUAUCACCCACAAGAAUCCACUGUCUGCAAACUCUUAGAAUAGGAUGAGUUAUUGGAAUAGUCCUACUGAUACAAGCGAGGGUCAAUGCCAAAAUCAGUUUCUUGCAUCUGACUUCCUUGUGGCACAUUGGUGUGCCACAGGAUACCAAUUAAAGGGGAACUUUAAUUUCUCAGAAUUGGUAGCAUUAUGUUUACUUAUUCUCUAUAUGUAACAAAAAUGUAUUUGUGAGGUGUAAAAAAUAAAAUUAAAUAUAGGUAUCCAAGCCUCUUUCCUUUACAACUGGGCCCCUCAAUGUUAGCUCUCAGGCAGCAAACACAGAUAAAAUAUACAGAAAAGAUUCAAAAUUAAACUGUUUGCCUAUUUCUUCUCCUCAUUUUCAGUGUUUGACCUGGCUGUGCCAGGACUGUACCGGAUUGAUCAAAACCUAAACCCUCCCUUGACAACAACUAAGGACUUUGAUAGGGAAUCUAAUAAUGCAUGUGAUUUUUUUCAGGCAACCUCUUUAGGAUAGGAUGUAAUAGCAUAUAGGUUUGCUGAUACUGGUUAAAUCACCAAUAUGGCUCCAGUAAGUCUGACACCAACCUAGAGUGGUUUACUAGACCAGUAUCUUAACCCUCUCACUUGGAAUAUAAGAGACACAUAACUGUACAAUCUAUAGACACUGUGUAUAGAAUAUAGAGUUUCCAACAUAUGUCAUUAUCAAAGAUCAUAUCCCCAUAAACUGCCAGUGCAAAGGCGUGUGUUGUUUAGCUUAUACAGAUUGACAUGCUCUAUAAAGAGGAUUAUUUUAGCCACAAAGCUUAACCUCUAUUUUCAUUAUGCCUGCCAGGAACUCCAGCGUGCUUUGUCACCCACAAUAUACAAAAGAUUAUGGGAUCAUGCUUGCUUGUUUUGUAAAAACAGGAGCACUAAGGCCAUCUUCUUACCAUAUCCUUUCAGAUUAACCCUGGCUUGCAAGAAAUGUUAUUGUAUCUGAAUAGAGUGCUGCUUCAAUUUGGGGUAUUAUAGUCCAAAAAGGGCAAGGUGGCCUUUAACCACAUGCAUGGUAAGUCUACAGGGCCACUUGUGGGAAGCAGUUUUGCUGUAUAUAUCAUGUCUCUGCGGUCACAUUGCUCAAUUCUAUGCCAUUUAGGAGUUAAAUGACUUUGUUUAUGCAGCCCUAGUCACACCUCUCUGCAUGUGACUUGCACAGCCUUCCUAAACACUUCCUGUAAUGUGAGAUCUAUUGUUCACACUUCCUUUAUUGCAAAUUCUGUUUAAAUUAGAAUUUCUUAAUUCCUGCACUGUGAAUAGCUUGCAAGACCUUUCAGGGGCCUCUUGUUUGUGAUUAGCGUUCAAUUUACAGAGCAGGAAAUAGAAUUUUCUCAAGUAAGUUAAUGUCUGAUUACUGCUACAUGGACAGAAACAAAACUGAUAACGCCUAAAUGGCAGUGAAUUGAGGUGUGAGACUUAGAGGCAUGAUCUAUACAUCAAAACUGCUUCAUUAAGCUAAAGUUAUGUUGGUGACUAUAGUGUCCCUUUAAAGUCUUCAAGAUCUAUAAAGUGGUGGUGCUCAGUCCCUGACUGUCAUUGCUUCUGGGCUCUCUGAACGCUGACGUAUAGGCGCUUAGUGUCAUUCCGGCCUGAAGCAGCAGUGCCUGCUUAAUUUUUUGAUGCCACUCCAUUCCGUGUUGAUCCAGCGAUGCAAGUUACACUUUUUUUGUGGUAAUUUUUUACCUAGACCAAUAGACAUAAGCCUCUAUUAGCACACUCUGACUUCUCCUCUAUGUCCUGUUCUGGACUAUGAUCUUUGUCCUGUUCUGUUAUCUCGAGAGUUCAUUUAAAUUGUGGUGUGUGAUUUGGUUAUUUUUUAAACUUUUUUUUUUUAAUUUCUGGCAAGAAAUAGAGUAUCGACAGCAUUAGCAAUCCCAAUGGAGUCUCCUACUCUGAAAUCCUGAUACUAUCUGAACCAUCCUAAUUCAUCCUUUUCAACUUGCCUCACUUAAUGAACACUGCUUAACCAACCUGGUCGUCUGCUACUCUUAUUAUUUUGUUGUCAAAUCAUGUCUAAAGUUCAAAAUAAAGAACAUAAAGUUAACCCCGGCAUACGUCUCUUGUCUGAAAUGAUGCAAAACCUGACACCCCACUUGAAACCUCUGUCAAAUGCACUGUGCACAAUCAGACUGGGAGAUCUGAGGCCACACAACCGGCUCCAGAUACAGGUAAGUCUUAAACUGUAUUGAUAUGGCUGGCUGGUAGUCGAUUUUAGUAGCUGAUUGUGAGAAUCGGGCUCAGAGCUUGCAUGAGGCACAUACAGCCACAAUGGAGCUCAGGCCCCGCCCCUGUGAUUUGGUUAUUGAUUCGGCUUUGAUCUUGGACUCUUCUGACCUCUGGAAUCCCUGACUUUGGUUCUGUUUAACCAUAUUCCCUAUUCUCUGUACGCCUUGACCUCGAUUUGUUCCGGUUUACUCUUGUCUGCUUGCAGACUGUAUUCUAUACUUUCAUAUGUAAAACCCACCCUAUGGACCAGUAAUAUGUCUUUCUGUAGUAUAGGAUACUCCUAGCGAGUUUGCGUGUGUAGUCUUUAUCUCAGCCCAUGAUGAGGCAAAUCCACUAGGACCAAUAGGGAUCUACUUUGACAUCCUUGGUGUUAUAGACAUCCUCUUAUAGGAUGUCAUUGUGAAGGCUAAGAGUUUUAGAAUAUGCAUUCAAAUAUUGUGGUGUAGGAUGUAGGAAACAGAAGAGGUGAAUUAAUUAUUGUUGAUCUUGAUGAAUGUCCCGAACGGAGGACUGAAACGUUGAUGAUUCAUUUUUAAUUAUUGAAUAAAGAUUGGAAACUGAAAGGACCGUGAGUGCAGCCACAUUUUUGGAAAUUAUAUGUGUAUAUAUAUAAAAUCAUACACACAUGUAGUAAUAAUUACAAACCUCAAAAUAUGCCUCAAAGAAAAUUUUAAAACCAUGUAAGUACCCUAGCACCUAGUAGCAGGUCAAAUCCUUAUCCACAUUUUUUUCUAGCUUCAUAAGUUAAAUGGACUUUACAACACAGGAGAGACGAUUACACGGCCUCGGGUAGUGUGUAUUCUGGAAAUAAGUAAGCAGGCCAGUACUACAGAGGAUUAAUAGUUCACCAGUAACUGUUAGAAAAAAAUGUUUAGAUUUACAGUGCAGCAGUGUAAGGAAAGCGCUAGUAAUCGCAGAAUUUGCAGGUAAUAUUACAUUUAUAUCUUGUAUCUUAUAUUCAUAAGGUAAGCCAAUGGGGCACAGUGAUUCAUUCCAGCUAGUGUAGAAAGGGGUGGAAAUAUUGGAGGCAUAGACCAGAGGUAACCAACAGGUUGCAUCUAGCUCUACAGGGAGUGCAGAAUUAUUAGGCAAGUUGUAUUUUUGAGGAUUAAUUUUAUUAUUGAACAACAACCAUGUUCUCAAUGAACCCAAAAAACUCAUUAAUAUCAAAGCUGAAUAUUUUUGGAAGUAGUUUUUAGUUUGUUUUUAGUUUUAGCUAUGUUAGGGGGAUAUCUGUGUGUGCAGGUGACUAUUACUGUGCAUAAUUAUUAGGCAACUUAACAAAAAACAAAUAUAUACCCAUUUCAAUUAUUUAUUAUUACCAGUGAAACCAAUAUAACAUCUCAACAUUCACAAAUAUACAUUUCUGACAUUCAAAAACAAAACAAAAACAAAUCAGUGACCAAUAUAGCCACCUUUCUUUGCAAGGACACUCAAAAGCCUGCCAUCCAUGGAUUCUGUCAGUGUUUUGAUCUGUUCACCAUCAACAUUGCGUGCAGCAGCAACCACAGCCUCCCAGACACUGUUCAGAGAGGUGUACUGUUUUCCCUCCUUGUAAAUCUCACAUUUGAUGAUGGACCACAGGUUCUCAAUGGGGUUCAGAUCAGCUGAACAAGGAGGCCAUGUCAUUAGAUUUUCUUCUUUUAUACCCUUUCUUGCCAGCCACGCUGUGGAGUACUUGGACGCGUGUGAUGGAGCAUUGUCCUGCAUGAAAAUCAUGUUUUUCUUGAAGGAUGCAGACUUCUUCCUGUACCACUGCUUGAAGAAGGUGUCUUCCAGGAACUGGCAGUAGGACUGGGAGUUGAGCUUGACUCCAUCCUCAACCCGAAAAGGCCCCAAAAGCUCAUCUUUGAUGAUACCAGCCCAAACCAGUACUCCACCUCCACCUUGCUGGCGUCUGAGUCGGACUGGAGCUCUCUGCCCUUUACCAAUCCAGCCACGGGCCCAUCCAUCUGGCCCAUCAAGACUCACUCUCAUUUCAUCAGUCCAUAAAACCUUAGAAAAAUCAGUCUUGAGAUAUUUCUUGGCCCAGUCUUGACGUUUCAGCUUGUGUGUCUUGUUCAGUGGUGGUCGUCUUUCAGCCUUUCUUACCUUGGCCAUGUCUCUGAGUAUUGCACACCUUGUGCUUUUGGGCACUCCAGUGAUGUUGCAGCUCUGAAAUAUGGCCAAACUGGUGGCAAGUGGCAUCGUGGCAGCUGCACGCUUGACUUUUCUCAGUUCAUGGGCAGUUAUUUUGCGCCUUGGUUUUUCCACACGCUUCUUGCGACCCUGUUGACUAUUUUGAAUGAAACGCUUGAUUGUUCGAUGAUCACGCUUCAGAAGCUUUGCAAUUUUAAGAGUGCUGCAUCCCUCUGCAAGAUAUCUCACUAUUUUUGACUUUUCUGAGCCUGUCAAGUCCUUCUUUUGACCCAUUUUGCCAAAGGAAAGGAAGUUGCCUAAUAAUUAUGCACGCCUGAUAUAGGGUGUUGAUGUCAUUAGACCACACCCCUUCUCAUUACAGAGAUGCACAUCACCUAAUAUGCUUAAUUGGUAGUAGGCUUUCGAGCCUAUACAGCUUGGAGUAAGACAACAUGCAUAAAGAGGAUGAUGUGGUCAAAAUACUCAUUUGCCUAAUAAUUCUGCACUCCCUGUAUUCUAAGUACAAGACCAAUCACUCUAAGCUAGGCUUGUGUAAUUAGUUUUGGAACCAAUUUUUGAUGGAAUUUUGGCUGAUUCAUCAAUAUGGAUGCCUCCCAAUUUGAUGAAAAAAAUCAAAACAUGAAUUGAUCCGAAACUAAUCAAACUGGUUUGGACUGAUUCAUUUUGAAAAUUAGGGAUCGAUCUACUAAACAACGGGAUGAGCAAAAUUAAUAAAUGGUCAACAAUCCCAUGUAAAUAUAGCAAAUUAGGGAGUUGUCAACUAAAAAGUUAAAACAUCAAAAUAAAAGAGUUACUCCAACCACCAUGACCACUUCAGUGAUUUGAAGUAGUCAUUGUGGUAGCAGUAUGUAUAUGCAGUGUUUCAGCUUGAAACAUUGUACAUACAGAGAUAUUUUUAAUUGUAUGCUGGGGACUAGUUACAAUUCCAGCAACUGCCAACGUCAAUUCUGUGCAUAUCUUGCUCUGUCGUCAACAAGCACUGCAUGCUGUUGACCAGGGCUUGCCUUAGGGGUGUGCAAGCUGUGCGGCUGCACAGGGCACCAUGGCAGCAAAGGGCAUUGGGCGGCCAACACAGCUCACACAUGGCCGGGUGUGAAGUAGGUUCUCAGGCAUGUCCGUCUACCCUGGUGGAGGAUUUCAUUAUUCUUCAUCUGGGACAAUUAAAAAACACCAAAACAUGGUGGCAGAGGCUGGGCUUACUGAGCUGCAGAGGCGAUGCUAAAAUGUCAGCAGGGGCGGAGCUAGACACACCCAGAAGCCGAUUCUGCACAGGAAGGGCAAAGCAGGAAGGAGUCCCAAACAAGCCCAGGAGCUGCAACUGCCUCCACUCCUUGCUUCCAGCCCAUAAUGGAAAGAGGUAACUUUCCAUGUAUGUGACUGAAACUGUGUGACUGUCUGCCUCUGUGUAACUGAAACUGUGUGUGUGUGUGUUACUAUCUGCCUGUGUGUGACUGUCACUGUGUGUGUGUGACUGUAACUGCGUGUGUGUGUGUGUGUCUGUCUGCCUGUGUGUAACUGAAACUGUGUGUGUGACUGUCUGCCUCUGUAUGACUGAAACUGUGUUUAUGACUGUCUGCCUGUGUGUGUGUGUGUGUGUGUGUGUGUGUGACUGUCUGCCGUGUGUGACUAAAACUGUGAGUGUAACUGUCUGACUGUUUGUGACUGAAACUGUGUCUGUGGUUGUCUGUCUGUGUGUGACUGAAACUGUGUGCGAGUGUGACUGUUUCCUGUGUGUGUGACUGCAACUGUGUGUGUGUGUGUGUGAGAGAGACUGUCUGCCUGUGUGUGUUACUGCAACUAUGUGACUGUAACUGUGUGUGUGACUGCCUGCCUGUGUGUAUGACUGUAACUGUGACUGUCUGCCUGUGUGUGUGACUGUAACCUCUCCCAACAAGGUGACAACAGGGAUGGAGGAAUGAAUAUUUUCAUGUAAAUUAUUAAUUUAAUAAAUCCCCCUAUACAAAAACUACACCCCUAUAUACACACACACGCACACUAUUCAUGGAUGAAGAGGGGAUAACCGGAGGUGGGGGGGCACUGUUAAUAUUUAUCUCACAGGGGGCCUAGAGACCUAAGGCCGGCCCUGCUGACAGACAUGCUAAUCCUUCCCUUUUAGAGGCAGAGCGAUUACCCUUUCACCCUCGGAAUGAUCCCUCGCACCUCCCUCUGUUUCCAUCAGCUUUUUAUUUUAAAGGCUCCCUCUCUACUCCCUCCAACCCCAUACCCUGUUAAUGUCAACAUUUGUGUGCUACCGUAUUUUAUUCAAACUGGGUGGUAUUGAUUGGCAAAGAGCACUGGGUUAAUCCACCCGCAGAACUCUCAGUCAGUCACUACAAUCAAAGUUGGAUGACACUGUCAUUGAUAUUGCAAUAAUAAUGAUAAUACUAGAUUAUCAAUAUGCCAGAGAAGGGGGUGGCCUUCUGACGUCAACAAGAGUCCAAGUAUAUGUCAAACCUUUCCUGACAACAUAAGAUUAAACUGGGGAAAAGAGGUGCCAGGACACUUGUGCAAUUUACCCACCACAGUGAGCUUAACUGUUUCUUAAUAUGUUAAAAUAAUCUAUGGACAGUUUGUAUCCCUCCUGUAUAUGUGGAGUAAUAGCGAGGGCUAGUCUGCAGAUCUAAAGCCUAGCCCUUUCAAAUUAUGGAGGAUGGAGACAUUAAUUAAUUAGCUUUUCCCCACUCGCAGUAAUAAAUCAUUUGCAGCAGAUAAUUUAUGGAGCUCUAAGGGCUAGGAAAGAAUUAUUUCCUUAUAACUUUUGGAAGCAAUCUAUAGUUAAGCUGCAAUUUCACUUCAAGCCAGAGGGUGGAGUUUGCAAGCUCUUGCAUUUUUUCCGAGUGGCUGAUAAUGGCAUGUUGCCACGUAGGUGACAUGAAAAUAAGUAACAUUGUAGAGGUUGUGUUUAAAAAAAAAUCACUUUAAGUUGCACACACACCAUUAUCGUAUGUGUAAAAAUAUAACGCCAGCCUUGGUGCAUUGGUGCAUUUUUCUGCAUUUUCUGUAGUGUACCACAAUAAAUAAUGGGGGAAAAAGAAAAGAAAUACAAAUAAAUCAAACUGAUGGAACAGCAGCACUCCGGAAUAUUUUGGCACAAAUAAGAUUAUAAAUAGAUGCAAACAGGAAAAGCCUUAACCCCUUAAGGACACAUGACAUGUGUGACAUGUCAUGAUUCCCUUUUAUUCCAAAAGUUUGGUCCUUAAGGGGUUAAAAAAGAAGCCUUAAAAAGUGAGUACAACACUUUUUAUAAUUAAUAAUAUAGCAUUAAUUAAUUCAGCCGACCUAGACACAAGUUAGUUAGUGUUUACUGUAUUCCGAGAAUAGAACCAGCUGUCCAAUACUUAGUUAUGUUAGUUAUAGUGUAGGGUUUUUUUUUCUGCCACACACCCCUCCUGUAUUUACUCUGCCCAAUAUAUGAUUAUACUCCCUCUAGUCUCAGCACUGCUGUAUAGUGUGAUACCUCUUGCAUUUACUGUACCCAUUAAUGUAAAAUGCCACACACCAUAACCACUACUGUGUGCUGUAGUGGCUAUAGUGCUAGGAGUGCCCUGGUAAUCCCCCACUGUAAGUAGUUAAACAGUUUUAAAAAAAUAUGUACUUAAAUUUAUUUAGAAAAUUAAUUUCUACUUUAUUCAUGUUUAUACAUAUAUAAUUUAAAGUUAAUGAAUUUAUCCAUUUCUAUCGAUACAGCGACUACUAGUGCGGGAGCUGCUUAAAUUGAAGCAAAAGAAAAGUUAAACAUGAACACAAUAAAGUUUAUUGAAAUUACCUUUAACCGAUGAUUAAUGAGAUCUUUGAGGCUGAUGCUGCGAGACUAAAUAUUUGAUAUCUGGUUUGAUUUUUGAACAAACAAAGGUGAUAAUCAUAUUAUCAUAUAUUAUCACCAAACAGAGAAACCAAACAAGAUAUGUUUUAGGAAAAAGGUAUCAAGAAAUUGAAUAUAAUUUUCCACAUAAUUGUAUAUCACGCAGGUAUUUUUUUAAAUUAUUUUGCCAGAGUUUUUGGUAUCCACAACUGUCGAAAUUACAUUUACUCUCUUCACCACAUUUAAUUUCUAAUAGUUCUUCUUGGCAAGUUAUAUCAACGUCAGCAAUAUUUGCUGUAAAAGGAUUUAUCAUCCGGUCAUACACCUUCUAGUUCAAAAUGUUUUAAAAUCAUUUUUCCAUAUCCAAUUUACGUUCGUUGAGGUGGCUACUGAACCUUUCAAUCUCCUCUGGAGUUACAUCACAUUUAUAGAUGACAAUACAGAAAACUGAAGAAAUUCAAAAGAUUAUGAUGGAGAAGAUCAAGUUUUUCGAUAAAUAAUAAAUACUUUUGCAACUUAUAAGAGUUAUAUUGGCUCCUUGAAGUGGCAAAUUAAUGCAAUUACAUCUCUUAAAAAUGUCAGCCAAAUAAAAGGCAUCAUUAUUUAAUGUUUUGAAUUGUUCAUAGAGACCAGCUUAUACUUUCAAAAAACUGUAUGACACUAUACAAUGCAACAAAACGAGACAAGCUGAUGGCAAGUUGUGAUUUUCUAUGCAUGCGCAUGUUUCCUUUUGCUUGUCAGGGGAGAUUUCACAGGGGUGCCCAACACGAAUGCCUGCAUGCUUCCUUUUAGCCAUCGAAAGAGAUUUAGCAAACAGAAUGUUUACUCAUGCAUAUUGGGCGUUUUUGAGAGGUUUCUCUCGAGAGUUUGAGGGAGGCAUGCACAUGCGCAGAGCAUGUGGUUGUGCUGGAGAACCGAGGGUCACGGAUAAAACCCACCAUCGCCCACCAUGAAAGCUUGAAUCGCCCACUAGUGGGCGGUAGGGACCAGGUUGACUACAGGGCCGGACUGGGGACACGAAGCAGCCCUGGAAAAAAAAAAUCUGUGGCAACCCUAUAAGUCAUUGUGCUAUGUAGUGUCUGUUAUAUAACACACACUACAUAGCAUAUAUACACACAUAUCUAUAUAUACACACACACCGGUGUGUGUGUGUGUGUGUGUGUGUGUAUAUAUAUAAUAUACACAUUAAAAAAAGUAAGGAAGUCAGGCACUCUACCUUUGAAAAUUUGUUGAGAUGAACCUCGGUGCUGCACAGCGUGGAUAAAUACGAGAUGUUGAAAAGAGCACUCCAUAGGAUUUGUUUAACGAGCUUUAUAUGUGAUUCAAAAUGAUCAAAGUUUCGACCCAAGAAACAAAGACCUCUUGGGUCGAAACGUUGAUCAUUUUGAAUCACAUAUAAAGCUUGUUAAACAAAUCCUCUGGAGUGCUCUUUUCAACAUCUCGUGUGUAUAUAUAUAUAUAUAUUGGAAUAUUUAUUUUUCAAUUCAAAAUAUUAGUCCUUUUAGGGUAAUUAAAUUAUACAGUAAAGCAUAAUCACAUGCAGACACAGUCAAUCUUUAUUAUGCACACACAUAGGCUCAUUGACAGACAAUCUCAAUGACACACACAGACAAGGUUACUGGUACACACAAAUUUAGUACAGACAAACUCUGAUACACACACAGGCUUACUACAGACAAGCUCACUGCACACACAUGCUCACCACAGACAGGAGCAGAAACACCCAUGCUCCCUACAGACAAGCUCACUAACACACACACAAUCCCUACAGACAAGCUUACUGACACACGUGCAGGCACACACACAAACAAGCUCACUCACUAGCAGAUGCGCGCACACACACACACACACACACACACACAGAAGCUCACUCACUCCCUAGCAGAUGCACACACACAAAGACAUCCACACACACAGAGGCAGACAUCCACACACACACACAGAGGCAGGCACCCACACACACAGAGGCAGGCACCCACACACACAGAGGCAGACAUCCACACACAGAGAGACAGGCAGACAGCCACACACACACAAAAAAAGCCACACACACACACAGGUAGAUAGCCACACACUCACACAGUCAGAUAGUCAUACACACACAGGCAGAUAGCCACACACUCACACAGUCAGAUAGUCAUACACACACACACAGUUAGAUAGCCACACACACACAGGCAGACAGUCAUACAUACACACAGAAGCAGACAGUCACACACACAGACAGUGUCACACACACACACACAGGCAGACAGUCAUACAUACACACAGAGGCAGACAGUCACACUCACACAGAGACAGUGUCACGCACACACACACAGGCAUACAGUCACACAUACACAGACAGUGUCACACACACAUACACACAGGCAGACAGUCAUACAUACACACAGGCAGACAGUCACACACACACACACACACACACACACACACACAGGCAGACAGUCACACACACACAGAUAGUGUCACACACACACACAGGCAGACAGUCACACACACACAGACAGGUGUCACACACACACACACAGGCACUCAUACAUACACACAGAGGCAACAUGCACACAGACAGUCAUACAUACACACAGAGGCAGUCACACACACACACAGACAAUGUCACACACACAGGCAGACAGUCAGACAUACACACAGAGGCAGAUAGUCACACACAGGGUCACACACACACACACACAGGCAGACAGUCAUACAUACACACAAAGGCAGAUAGGCACACACACACAGACAGUGUCACACACACACAUAGACAGACAGUCAUACAUACACACAAAGUCAGAUAGUCACACACACAGACAAUGUCACACACACACAGACAGUCAUACAUACACACAAAGGCAGAUAGUCACACACACACAAAGGCAGAUAGUCACACACACACAGACAGUGUCACACACACAGGCAGACAGUCAUACAUACACACAGAGGCAGACAGUCACACACAGACAGUGUCACACACACACACACACACACACACACAGGCAGACAGUCAUACAUACACACAGAGGCAGACAGUCACACACACAGACACUGUCACACACACAGGCAGACAGACAUACAUACACACAGAGGCAGACAGUCACACACACACACACAGGCAGUCACACACAGAUACACUGACCUGCUUCUUACCUUCACAUCCCUUGGAGCUCCUGGGGGCUGGUUGUUGGGGAAGCAUGCUGCAUUAACCAGGCCCCCCGCCGCACGCUAGCUCCGCCCCGCCACAAUUUUUUAUUUUUUUUUUAAAUUUAUGAUCCCGGCCAGCCAUGUGUGAGCUGUGCCGGCCGCCUAGCUCCCCCUGCUCCCAUGGGGCCCUGUGCGGCCGCACAGCUCACACAUGGCCGGCCGGGAUCACAGGAGCCUGAUCACUGAUGAGAGCUGUCAGCCCAGCCCCAGGUGCUGUGGCCCACCAGGAAAUUUCCUGGUAUCCCGGUGGGCAAGUCCGGCCCUGGUUGACUACCACUGCUUUGAAGGGUCAUCUCUUAUGUAUUCACUAUAAUUCAGUAUACCUUCGUGCCGCCUGUAUUCACUGUAAACGUAUAACAUCACGUUUCUUGUAUUUAUAAUAUCUCAGUAUAAUGUCAUGUCUCCAAUACGAUGUCCUUUUUAGGACAUAACAGUAUAUGAGCAAUAUUAAAAAGGAAUACAUUAAAAAAAAAGUAAUAAAUGCAAACAGGGGAUUAAACAUGCUAUGAAGUCUUCACAUUUUAGAUGUUUAUACUUAAAACAGUGACAGUGCAAAAAAAUUGCAUCCAAUUUUUAUAACUUUUAAUAGAUCAUUUUUAAAAAUGUGCAAUAUAAGAAAAAAUGUAAAUAUAAAAGAUACCAUCAAAGAGACGUUGUUUACAAGACCUAGUCUAGAUGGUCUGAAUUAUACCCAAUUUCCAUGUAAUAACAUAGGACACUUCGUCAACUUUCUAUUAUUCUCCGUCACCUACAGUUAUCUGAUGCUAGAAUGCUUUUCUUCUUAUUUCUAUCUGCUUAUUCACCAUGCUGAAGUUUUUGCAUUCUGAUGCAUACUUUAUUUGUCAUUUUUUUUUGUUUAUUGUAUUUUUAUAGAGAUUUUCCAAUAAAAUGCAAUACAACAAAAGUUGCAAUUUAUACAUUAGCAAGAGUUUUUUUUUUGUUUUGUUUUUUAUAGACAGAGUAGAUAAACUAUUUUUUUCUACAGGUACUCAUCAAUAUUUCUGACAUUGCAUAGGUUUUUUUUGUUUUUUUUAAUACAAUUGUAUUAAAGGAACACUAUAGGGUCAGGAACACAAACAUAUAUUCCUGACCCUAUAGUGUUUAACCCACCAUUUAGGUGGCAUGUCCCCCUAUAAAAGUUUAAAACUCACCUUAUUCCAGCGUCGCGCAGGUCCGCCGGCACUGGCUCUGCCCCCUUUGUAACAAUCAAAAGGGCCGAUUUUUAGCCAAUCCAAUGCUUUUCCAUAGGGAAAGCAUUGGAUUGGCUAAAACUGGCACAUGGGCAGGGCCAAAUGCUGUUUUGGCCAAUCAGGACCUCCUCAUAGAGAUGCAUUGAAUCAAUGCAUCCCUAUGAGGAAAAUUCAGCGUCUCCAUGCAGCACGUGGCCACUUGGAGGUGUCCCUAGAGGCAAUGUAAUCACUGCCUCUUCCCUGAUUUUGUUUUCAUGAAAAAAAGCCUGAAGGGAAUUAUACUCAUCAGAACAACUACAUUAAAGGGACAUUCCAGGCACCCAGACCACUUCUGCCCACUGGAGUGGUUUGGGUGCCAACUCCCACAACCCUUAACCCUGCAAGUGUAAUUAUUGCAGUUUUUAUAAACUGCAAUAAUUACUGUGCAGGGUUAAGUCCUCCUCUAGUGGCUGUCUAUCAGACAGCAACUAGAGGGACUUCCAUGUUCUGUAAGGACCUCCAGCGUUGCCGAAAUCCCCAUAGGAAAGCAUUGAGUAAUGCUUUCCUAUGGGGAGGUCUAAUGCGCGUGCGCAGCCAUUGCCGCGCAUGCGCAUUAGUUCUCCCCCGCCGGGUGACAGUAAGCGGAGCCUGACCCAGCUCCGAGGGACAUCGGCGCUGGACUCCAGUAAGUUUCUGGAUGGGGGCUGGGAGGGAGAAGGGCACUGGACAUCGGCGCUGGACUCCAGUAAGCAACUUGGGAUGGGGGCUGGGAGGGAGAAGGGCACUGUAGGGUCCUGCAGUGCUAGGAAAACAAAUAGUGUCCCUUUAAUCAACAUUUCCAAACCGAAUCCACAAACAUAGCACAGUUUUGUGGGUUUUUUUUUACAUCCUUUAUUUUGUUUGUACAGUGAUAUACAGGCAGCCUUAAACUGGCAUGUCUACUUAGUGAUAAAGCUCAGGCAAAAUAACAAGGUUACUUGACAUGCCAUGGGUAACAGGCAAAAGUUUUGUUUUUAAGUUAUAAAAGGUAAAGAACUGAGCAUGUCUGAGUACUGUACGAGAAGUGUUAGAGUAUUUAGAAAUAUAGGCUCGAGACUACUACUGUACGUUGAAUACCACUGGUUACCUGGUUAUUGUGGCAACAAUGCACUGCACUGCACACUGCCAAAUUCAUUGAACAAAUAUGGUAAUAACAAGAAUAAAAAAAAGCAAUUUGAGUAAACUCAUGUGAAAACAUAAAAUUAAUGAGAACCGCCAGAACAGGUCUAUAAGCCUAGGGAGGCUCCAUUUAUCACGAUGGAUACAGCUGCAUAAGGAGCUGUGGUAGUGACUUGGUGGCAAGCUGAGAUCAACCUAUGUCUGAAUUUGGGAAACAUAAGACUUGAGUUCGGAACGGUGGGAGGAUAGCGAGGGCGCGAUGCAGGGCAUCCCUCCAGCUCCAGGCUGGAACAUAGGCUUGCAAUUGCGAUCCACGGACUCAGUAGCUUAUACAGUCCAGUCCUUCCCCAUUGGGGAGAAACAGAAAAAAACUGCGCAUGCGCAUUAGGUCUCCCCAGCCGGUGGACGGGAUCAGUCUCACCCACCGGCCAACGUAAUGGCUGGGAGAAGCGGCGGCGAGAAGAAACCACCGCCGAGGUCUCAGGUAAGUGACCUGAAGGGGUUUUCACCCCUUCAGCUACCGGGGAUGAGGGGUGGGAGGGAGAGGGGACUUGCAGUGCCAGGAAAACGGAUUGUUUUCCUGGCACUGGAGUUACCCUUUAAAACGACAACAUUCUCCGGGUUAUCUUUGUUUCCAUCUCAGCUACUCUGACCUUACAUUUCCAAUUCCUUUUUUAAUUCAUUGUUGACUGAAUAACCCCAAAUAUUUAAUUCAACUAAACCUUGCUGACCCAUUUGUUUUUUGUAAUUUUACAGGAAAUCUCCAAAAUGCCAUCCGAGAGGUGUCCUAUUCAGUGCUGGAUCGAAGCAGAAUGCAUCCCCGAUCAUCUAAAUUAAUGCAAGUGUGCAUAACAGCUACUGUGAACAAAUGGACACGAGGCUUGGCUACCACCGCCAGCAUAAAGGUCAAAAAAUACAGGGGUCCUCUUACUG